rnacentral:rRNA from 1 species
UGGGGAAUAUUGCACAAUGGGCGCAAGCCUGAUGCAGCCAUGCCGCGUGUAUGAAGAAGGCCUUCGGGUUGUAAAGUACUUUCAGCGGGGAGGAAGGGAGUAAAGUUAAUACCUUUGCUCAUUGACGUUACCCGCAGAAGAAGCACCGGCUAACUCCGUGCCAGCAGCCGCGGUAAUACGGAGGGUGCAAGCGUUAAUCGGAAUUACUGGGCGUAAAGCGCACGCAGGCGGUUUGUUAAGUCAGAUGUGAAAUCCCCGGGCUCAACCUGGGAACUGCAUCUGAUACUGGCAAGCUUGAGUCUCGUAGAGGGGGGUAGAAUUCCAGGUGUAGCGGUGAAAUGUGUAGAGAUCUGGAGGAAUACCGGUGGCGAAGGCGGCCCCCUGGACAAAGACUGACGCUCAGGUGCGAAAGCGUGGGGAGCAAACAGG